rnacentral:tRNA from 1 species
UCCCUGGUGGCUCAGACGGUAAAGCGUCUGCCUGCAAUGCGGGAGACCUGGGUUCGACUCCUGGGUCGGGAA